rnacentral:rRNA from 1 species
ACUGGGCGUAAAGAGCUCGUAGGUGGUUUGUCGCGUCGUUUGUGUAAGCCCGCAGCUUAACUGCGGGACUGCAGGCGAUACGGGCAUAACUUGAGUGCUGUACGGGAGACUGGAAUUCCUGGUGUAGCGGUGGAAUGCGCAGAUAUCAGGAGGAACACCGAUGGCGAAGGCAGGUCUCUGGGCAGUAACUGACGCUGAGGAGCGAAAGCAUGGGUAGCGAACAGGAUUAGAUACCCUGGUAGUCCAUGCCGUAAACGGUGGGCGCUAGGUGUGAGUCCCUUCCACGGGGUUCGUGCCGUAGCUAACGCAUUAAGCGCCCCGCCUGGGGAGUACGGCCGCAAGGCUAAAACUCAAAGGAAUUGACGGGGGCCCGCACAAGCGGCGGAGCAUGUGGAUUAAUUCGAUGCAACGCGAAGAACCUUACCUGGGCUUGACAUACACCAGAUCGCCGUAGAGAUACGGUUUCCCUUUGUGGUUGGUGUACAGGUGGUGCAUGGUUGUCGUCAGCUCGUGUCGUGAGAUGUUGGGUUAAGUCCCGCAACGAGCGCAACCCUUGUCUUAUGUUGCCAGCACGUUAUGGUGGGGACUCGUGAGAGACUGCCGGGGUUAACUCGGAGGAAGGUGGGGAUGACGUCAAAUCAUCAUGCCCCUUAUGUCCAGGGCUUCACACAUGCUACAAUGGUCGGUACAACGCGUCUGCGAGCCUGUGAGGGUGAGCUAAUCGCUGUAAAGCCGGUCGUAGUUCGGAUUGGGGUCUGCAACUCGACCCCAUGAAGUCGGAGUCGCUAGUAAUCG